rnacentral:tRNA from 1 species
GGGCGAAUGGUUUGGUGGUAUAAUACUCCCUUAGCAUGGGAGUGGUCCAGGGUUCGAUUCCCUGUUCGUCCA